rnacentral:rRNA from 1 species
CUGGCCUCGAAUCAACG